rnacentral:lncRNA from 1 species
GACAUUAGGACUUAGCACGAGAGCCACCGGGCUCUGGGCUGCGGAGGAGGUUGGAGGUGACCUUCCAGAAGGAACGUGGGACAAGGGAGCAAGUGAGGACCUGGUGGGUAGUGGUUACUCUGUGAGAAGCCAGCAGCACCAACCAAAUAGAAGGUGGAGAAGUGGCCCCCAGCUUCCCAGUUUGGGUUUGGGCCAAGACAACUAAGAAAAGGGUCCACCGUCUUCACUCCAGAUGACCCUGCAUUGUAUCAAGUAGAAAAAUGUCUAACCAAGACAGAGGAGAAUACGAACCCUCUCAGCUCAUAGACAGGUGAUGAUGUGGUUUCCAACUGACUUUCAAGCAAACAGAUUUCCAAGCGUGCUUGAAGAGGGCAGUAAAUGAGAAGGCACAAGAUGCAAGAAGAGAGAGGGGUUUGCUGGAAAUCGUGGCUGACCACCUCAGAAGGACCCAGAAGACCCGAACUUUCUGGUUUUGCCUUUCACCUUGCUCUGAAACUUCUCCCAACACUGGAAGACAAGAAAGUUCCGCCCUACCUCCGCCCCACCUCCGCCCCCCGGACCAGGGAGAUUCUUCUCUUUGGGCAAGCAGGCUUGCUGGGCAAUCGUGAGCUGCUGAGUUCCCAUCCCCAUAGAAAGCUGGACAUGGACAUGCAUGCCUGUUUCUGCAGCAUGCUCAACUCCAGGAGCUCUCUGGUCUCCUAUAAAUAAAGGAUAACACAUUCGGCCUUCUUACCAUUUCAAAA